rnacentral:rRNA from 1 species
GACGAACGCUGGCGGCGUGCUUAACACAUGCAAGUCGAACGAAGUGGCGCACGGGUGAGUAACGCGUAAUCAACCUGCCCUUCAGUGGGGGACAACAGGUGGACACGACUGCUAAUACCGCAUACUGAAGGAGGGGUUUGCGUCUGGUUAGCUAGUUGGAGGGGUAACGGCGCACCAAGGCGAUGAUCAGUAGCCGGGCUGAGAGGAUGAACGGCCACAUUGGGACUGAGACACGGCCCAGACUCCUACGGGAGGCAGCAGGGGGGAAUCUUCCGGAAUGGACGAAAGUCUGACGGAGCAACGUCCCGUGAGUGAUGACGGCCUUCGGGUUGUAAAGCUCUGUUAAUCGGGACGCGGUACCGGAAUAGAAAGCCACGGCUAACUACGUGCCAGCCGCCGCGGUAAUUC